rnacentral:rRNA from 1 species
UUAUUGGGCGUAAAGAGCUCGUAGGCGGUUUGUCGCGUCUGCCGUGAAAGUCCGGGGCUUAACUCCGGAUCUGCGGUGGGUACGGGCAGACUAGAGUGCAGUAGGGGAGACUGGAAUUCCUGGUGUAGCGGUGAAAUGCGCAGAUAUCAGGAGGAACACCGAUGGCGAAGGCAGGUCUCUGGGCUGUAACUGACGCUGAGGAGCGAAAGCAUGGGGAGCGAACAGGAUUAGAUACCCUGGUAGUCCAUGCCGUAAACGUUGGGCACUAGGUGUGGGGGACAUUCCACGUUUUCCGCGCCGUAGCUAACGCAUUAAGUGCCCCGCCUGGGGAGUACGGCCGCAAGGCUAAAACUCAAAGGAAUUGACGGGGGCCCGCACAAGCGGCGGAGCAUGCGGAUUACUUCGAUGCAACGCGAAGAACCUUACCAAGGCUUGACAUGAACCGGAAUGAUGCAGAGAUGUGUCAGCCACUUGUGGCCGGUUUACAGGUGGUGCAUGGUUGUCGUCAGCUCGUGUCGUGAGAUGUUGGGUUAAGUCCCGCAACGAGCGCAACCCUCGUUCCAUGUUGCCAGCGGGUUAUGCCGGGGACUCAUGGGAGACUGCCGGGGUCAACUCGGAGGAAGGUGGGGACGACGUCAAAUCAUCAUGCCCCUUAUGUCUUGGGCUUCACGCAUGCUACAAUGGCCGGUACAAAGGGUUGCGAUACUGUGAGGUGGAGCUAAUCCCAAAAAGCCGGUCUCAGUUCGGAUUGAGGUCUGCAACUCGACCUCAUGAAGUUGGAGUCGCUAGUAAUCGCAGAUCAGCAACGCUG